rnacentral:rRNA from 1 species
UACGUAGGGGGCAAGCGUUGUCCGGAUUUACUGGGCGUAAAGAGCGUGUAGGCGGCCAAGCAGGUCCGUUGUGAAAACUGGAGGCUUAACCUCCAGACGUCGACGGAAACCGCGUGGCUAGAGUCCGGAAGAGGAGAGUGGAAUUCCUGGUGUAGCGGUGAAAUGCGCAGAUAUCAGGAGGAACACCGGUGGCGAAGGCGGAUCUCUGGGCCUGUUCUGACGCUGAGGCACGAAAGCGUGGGUAGCAAACAGG